GGGCAGAAAACCUAAGCCGCCUGGUGGAUGGCUCGGCUCGGGGCGCCGACGAAGGGCGUGGCAAGCUGCGAUAAGCCCCGGCGAGGCGCAGGCAGCCGUCGAACCGGGGAUUCCCGAAUGGGACCUCCUGCGGCUCUUGCCGCACUCCCAGUCGGGAGGGGGAACGCGGGGAAUUGAAACAU
rnacentral:rRNA from 1 species